CCCUUCUCUUCUCAUGCCUAAAGUGGAUAAGGAUGGAUUGUUUUGCAUUUGAAUUCAAAUUCGAUUUGAAUUCAAAUGAGCAACCACAUAUCUUUAUCCUCUCACACGGUAAAAAUGCUGCAAAGAUGCGGUCUUGCAUCAUUUUAAAAAGGAGAUAAGAUUGGGCAUGCGCACAAGACAUCCGAGAGAGAAGGGUGGCAUGAGAGAGCUUUCCUACAUGAGAAAAGAAA
rnacentral:lncRNA from 1 species